UCCCCAUGUGGUCUAGUGGCUAGGAUACCUGGCUUUCACCCAGGAGGUCCGGGUUCGAUUCCCGGCAUGGGAA
rnacentral:tRNA from 1 species